rnacentral:rRNA from 1 species
AAGAAUAGCCUGACCGUUUAGGCUGCCCUACAUUGAUCUUAAUCUUAGAAGCUAGGCAGGGUUGGCCUUGUUAGUACUUGAGUGAAAUACCAGCUAGGCAUUCUAGGUGCUAUGGGUU